CCUACGGGAGGCAGCAGUGGGGAAUUUUGGACAAUGGGCGCAAGCCUGAUCCAGCCAUGCCGCGUGAGUGAAGAAGGCCUUCGGGUUGUAAAGCUCCUUCGGCCGGGAAGAAAUCGUGGUCUCUAACAUAGGCCAUGGAUGACGGUACCGGACUAAGAAGCACCGGCUAACUACGUGCCAGCAGCCGCGGUAAU
rnacentral:rRNA from 1 species